UCUGGUGUCAGCCGCCGCGGUAAAACCAGCACCUCAAGUGGUCAGGAUGAUUAUUGGGCCUAAAGCAUCCGUAGCCGGCUCUGUUAGUUUUCGGUUAAAUCUGUACGCUCAACGUACAGGCUGCCGGGAAUACUGCAGAGCUAGGGAGUGGGAGAGGUAGACGGUACUCGGUAGGAAGGGGUAAAAUCCUUUGAUCUAUUGAUGACCACCUGUGGCGAAGGCGGUCUACCAGAACACGUCCGACGGUGAGGGAUGAAAGCUGGGGGAGCAAACCGGAUUAGAUACCCGGGUAGUCCCAGCUGUAAACUAUGCAAACUCAGUGAUGCAUUGGCUUGUGGCCAAUGCAGUGCUGCAGGGAAGCCGUUAAGUUUGCCGCCUGGGAAGUACGUACGCAAGUAUGAAACUUAAAG
rnacentral:rRNA from 2 species